rnacentral:rRNA from 1 species
UACGUAGGGUGCGAGCGUUGUCCGGAAUUAUUGGGCGUAAAGAGCUCGUAGGCGGUGUGUCACGUCGGCCGUGAAAACCUGGGGCUUAACUCUGGGCGUGCGGUCGAUACGGGCAUCACUAGAGUUCGGCAGGGGAGACUGGAAUUCCUGGUGUAGCGGUGAAAUGCGUAGAUAUCUGGAGGAACACCGGUGGCGAAGGCGGCAUCCUGGACCGACACUGACACUGAGGAGCGAAAGCCAGGGGAGCAAACGGG